GGCAGCAUGGUCUAAUAGUUAGGGCACCAGGCUAGGAGUCAGGAGAGCUGGGUUUUAUUCCCAGCUCUGCCA
rnacentral:tRNA from 1 species